AUGAACGCUGGCGGCGUGCUUAACACCUGCAAGUCGAACGGAAAGGCCCAAGCUUGCUUGGGUACUCGAGUGGCGAACGGGUGAGUAACACGUGGGUGAUCUGCCCUGCACUUCGGGAUAAGCCUGGGAAACUGGGUCUAAUACCGGAUAGGACGAUGGUUUGGAUGCCAUUGUGGAAAGUUUUUUCGGUGUGGGAUGAGCUCGCGGCCUAUCAGCUUGUUGGUGGGGUAAUGGCCUACCAAGGCGUCGACGGGUAGCCGGCCUGAGAGGGUGUACGGCCACAUUGGGACUGAGAUACGGCCCAGACUCCUACGGGAGGCAGCAGUGGGGAAUAUUGCACAAUGGGCGCAAGCCUGAUGCAGCGACGCCGCGUGGGGGAUGACGGCCUUCGGGUUGUAAACUCCUUUCGCUAGGGACGAAGCGUUUUUGUGACGGUACCUGGAGAAGAAGCACCGGCUAACUACGUG
rnacentral:rRNA from 1 species